rnacentral:rRNA from 1 species
CUUGAACGCUGGCGGCAGGCCUAACACAUGCAAGUCGAGCGAGCGGCGGCCGGGUGAGUAAUGCCUAGGAAUCUGCCUGGUCGUGGGGGAUAACGUAGGGAAACUUACGCUAAUACCGUAUACGAUUGAAUGAGCCGAUGUCGGAUUAGCUAGUUUUCGGGGUACAGGCCCACCAAGGCGACGAUCCGUAGCUGGUCGGCGAGGAUGAUCAGCCACGCUGGAACUGAGACACGGUCCAGACUCCUGCGGGAAGCAGCAGGGGGGAAUAUUGGACAAUGGGCGCAAGCCUGAUCCAGCCAUACCGCGUGGGUGAAGAAGGCCUUCGGGUUGUAAAGCCCUUUUGUUGGGAAAGCGGUACCCAAAGAAUAAGCACCGGCUAACUUCGUGCCAGCCGCCGCGGUAAUAC